rnacentral:rRNA from 1 species
AUGGCUCAUUACAACAGCUAUAGUUUAUUAGAUCUUACUCUACAUGGAUACCUGUGGUAACCUAAGAGCUAAUACAUGCAACUAAGCCCUAUUGCAGGGCGCAUUUAUUAGGACAAAACCAAUCGGGCUCGCCCGCCGUUUGGUGGAUCUGAAUAACUAUGCUGAUCGCACAGUCCUCGUACUGGCGAUGUAUCUUUCAAAUAUCUGCCUUAUCAACUGUCGAUGGUAGCUUACACGACUACCAUGGUUGUAACGGGUAACGGAGAAUUAGGGUUCGACUCCGGAGAGGGAGCCUGAGAAACGGCUACCACAUCCAAGGAAGGCAGCAGGCACGCAAAUUACCCACUCCCGGAAAGGGGAGGUAGUGACGAAAAAUAGCGAGACGGUUCUCUUUGAGGCCCGUCAUCGAAAUGGGUACAAUUUAAAUCCUUUAACGAGGAUCUAUUGGAGGGCAAGUCUGGUGCCAGCAGCCGCGGUAAUUCCAGCUCCAAAAGCGUAUAUUAAAGUUGUUGCGGUUAAAAAGCUCGUAGUUGGAUCUGCGCCCAUUGGUUGGCGGUCCCCUAAAGGGUGGUACUGCCGUACCAGGGCUUUCUUUCUGGUUUUCCCUUGGUGCUCUUCACCGAGUGCUCUGGGGUGACUGGAACGUUUACUUUGAAAAAAAUUACAGUGCUCAAUAGCCAGGCCAUAAUGCCUGAAUAGUGGUGGCAUGGAAAUAAUAAAAAUAGGACUUCCGAUUCUAUUUUUGUUGGUUUUCGGAACUCAAAGUAAAUGAUUAAGAGGGACAGACGGGGGCAUUCGUAUUGCGGCGUUAGAAGUGAAAUUUCUUGGAUCGUCGCAAGACGUACUACAGCGAAAGCAUUUGCCAAGAAUGUUUUUCAUAAAUCAAAGAAACGAAAGUUAGAGGUUCGAAGGCGAUCAGAUACCGCCCUAGUUCUAACCGUAAACGAUGCCAGCUAGCAAUCCAUGAGUGUUAGAUUUAGUGACUUCAUGGGCAGCGUCCGGGAAACCAAAGCUUUUGGGUUCCGGGGGAAGUAUGGUUGCAAAUCUGAAACUUAAAGGAAUUGACGGAAGGGCACCACCAGGAGUGGAGCCUGCGGCUUAAUUUGACUCAACGCGGGAAAACUCACCCGGCCCGGACACCGGAAGGAUUGACAGAUUGAGAGCUCUUUCUUGAUUCGGUGGUUGGUGGUGCAUGGCCGUUCUUAGUUGGUGGAGUGAUUUGUCUGGUUAAUUCCGAUAACGAACGAGACUCUAGCCUACUAAACUAGGCAAUGGAUUUAGUUUGUUCAUUGAACUUCUUAGAGGGACAGAGGGCGCCUAGCCCUACGAGAUUGAGCAAUAACAGGUCUGUGAUGCCCUUAGAUGUCCGGGGCUGCACGCGCGCUACACUGAAUGAGGCAACGAGCAUGAAAGCCUGGUUCGGAAGAACUGGGUAACCUGAUGAAACUCAUUCGUGAUUGGGAUAGGGAAUUGUAAUUAUUUCCCUUGAACGAGGAAUUCCUAGUAAGUGUGGGUCAUAAUCUCGCGUUGAUUAUGUCCCUGCCCUUUGUACACACCGCCCGUCGCUACUACCGAUUGGAUGAUUUAGUGAGGUCCUCGGACUGGUACCAGUUUGACUUAACGGUUGAACCGGCCUCCGGAAAGAAGAACCUAACUGAUCAUUUAGAGGAA